rnacentral:ncRNA from 1 species
AUAAUGAUACUCCUGUCCAGCCACAGCUUCACGCAAUGGGGGCAGCUCGGAGAGACACUCGGAGAGGUAAAACGGCCUGUGA